rnacentral:rRNA from 1 species
UGGGGAAUAUUGCACAAUGGGCGGAAGCCUGAUGCAGCGACGCCGCGUGGGGGAUGAAGGCCUUCGGGUUGUAAACUCCUUUCGACAGGGACGAAGCUUUUGUGACGGUACCUGUAUAAGAAGCACCGGCUAACUACGUGCCAGCAGCCGCGGUAAUACGUAGGGUGCGAGCGUUGUCCGGAAUUACUGGGCGUAAAGAGCUCGUAGGUGGUUUGUCGCGUCGUCUGUGAAAUUCCGGGGCUUAACUCCGGGCGUGCAGGCGAUACGGGCUGACUUGAGUGCUGUAGGGGAGACUGGAAUGCCUGGUGUAGCGGUGAAAUGCGCAGAUAUCAGGAGGAACACCGAUGGAGAAGGCAGGUCUCUGGGCAGUAACUGACGCUGAGGAGCGAAAGCAUGGGUAGCGAACAGG